UUCGUCAAAAUAUUCAUACAACACAUAGUUAAAAGUAUAGAUGUUAUAAUAAUAUAACCGGUGGACUUCGCCUAGAUUUCUACAUCGCAAAAGAAACUACGGAUGUGGAAUUGGCGGAUAUGAGUCGCCGACUUGUGUCAUUUACUUUAAAAUAUUCAGAAAUUCACACACGGGAUGUCGAAAGGCGAGAUUCCCACUAGUCAGUUAGAGCGUGGCACUCGAUAUAAGCUGGUUUAAAAUCUUACAAUUUGUUAAAACUAACACAUUCGUUCGAGUUCGAAGAACAAUCGACCACAGUGAACUCAAAUUAAGAACAAGCGCAAAGAUCAGUGUUUUAAAGUUGUUGAUAGAUGAAAAAAACAUUCGUAUUUAUGAAAUUCGAACUAACACCUCCCUUCGGACGUCGAGGCGACAUCUAUAAAUCUAAGAAAGAACGUUCGAAGUAAAAAGCUCCCGCGGGAUCUGACCCCGGGACCCCGUAAGUCUUCCGUCGAGCACGCUCACUCAACGUGCACGGGUAUCCCUGUCGGAGUAUCAACGAGAUCGUGAUCGUGUUAAAAGCCACAGAGCAGCGAGAUGAAGAAGUUUGGUGCGGGAGGCGUUGUGCGGGCGGCGGGCGGCGCGAGGCGGGGCGCGCCAAUCGUACGCGGCCACGCCUCGCGCGGGUCGAAAGGUCGACCACGACCAUUGGCGCGGAACGAUCCCGGACCACAGAUAAAACAUCAACUGCCGAUCUCCAUUUCCAAACGUCAAACCAAAGACAACCGUUUGUUUUUUUUAGCUAAUGGUUUUAAUAAAAAAAAACUCUUAACGUGUAAUAACAGCCAGGUAACUACUCUGUUACAAGUAUUUUAGUAGUCUACUAGUCAGUUAUUUUGCUUGUGAUCUCUCUAUGUAUCAAUUUGACUCUUCACUUAUUUGAUGAUAUGACAUUUUAAAGAUUGAGA